rnacentral:rRNA from 1 species
CAGCAGCCGCGGGAAUACGUAGGGUGCAAGCGUUAAUCGGAAUUACUGGGCGUAAAGCGUGCGCAGGCGGUUAUAUAAGUCAGAUGUGAAAUCCCCGGGCUCAACCUGGGAACUGCAUUUGAGACUGUAUGGCUAGAGUGUGUCAGUGGGGGGUAGAAUUCCACGUGUAGCAGUGAAACGCGUAGAUAUGUGGAGGAAUACCGAUGGCGAAGGCAGCCCCCUGGGAUAACACUGACGCUCAUGCACGAAAGCGUGGGGAGCAAACAGGAUUAGAUACCCCUGUAGUCCCUGUCUCUUAUAC